UCGACGCAGUCCUCCACGUCGAAGGCCAGGUAGCGGAGCUGCCUCACCCAGGUCAGCUCCACUUCGUUCCCGGCGCGCUCCCUGUUGGUGACGCGGAGGAAGGACUGCAUCAUCUCGAACUCGCCGGUGAUGAACACCAGUUUUGCAGUACGCGGUCGCCCUCCAUCCACUUGGCCUCGCGCUGACCAUCCAGACUCCUCGUCCUAUAAAAUUUAUCUGAAGGUGACAUGAUCAGAGUGGUCUGUUGUUGUUGUCGUCGUCGUGAUGCACGCAGCUACUGUUUCGCCUGCUAAGUAUAAAUUGUACAAAAAAAUCUAUUCCAAGAUGCCAAGAGCGCUCUGUAAUUUUGAACCCUUUUUUUCCAUGACAUGUCUUUUUGGGAGAGGGGGCGUGACAGAAAGAAAAUGACGGGGACAUAAAAGUCGUGGUAGGUGGUGGGCAUUAUUGGUGAUAAUCUUGGACUUGCAUCGGAAAUUUGUGGUUCUUCUUAUUAAUAUAAGCAAGAACUUGUCCGGAUCUUUGAAAAAAAGAUUGGAAAUUUGGAAGUAUGCGUGGCCGCCCGAAGGUGUCGAAAUGUCAGAGGGCCUCGAGCACACGGGACUGACACAAUAAUCUACGAUGGGUGGGUGCAUGCCAGCAUGAGGCGUUGCCUAGUUUUUAUUUAACAAAUAUAGCUUGUUGUCAGCUUAUUUUGAUUUGAACAGAAUUGAAAGCUAGAGCUCUUUUA